AGAUGAACGAAGCACCCCGCCCGCGGGAAACCGCGAGCGGUGCCGUCGCGUGGCCUCCCCAGUCGCGUACCGGCCGUGCCUUCGCGCACAUCCCCGGGGCCCCAGGUCCCGGACUUCCUCACCGAUCGGA
rnacentral:ncRNA from 1 species